AGUGAACGCUGGCGGUAGGCCUAACACAUGCAAGUCGAACGGCAGCACAGAGGAGCUUGCUCCUUGGGUGGCGAGUGGCGGACGGGUGAGGAAUACAUCGGAAUCUACUCUGUCGUGGGGGAUAACGUAGGGAAACUUACGCUAAUACCGCAUACGACCUACGGGUGAAAGCAGGGGAUCUUCGGACCUUGCGCGAUUGAAUUAGCCGAUGUCGGAUUAGCUAGUUGGCGGGGUAAAGGCCCACCAAGGCGACGAUCCGUAGCUGGUCUGUAGUGAUGAACAGCCACACUGGAACUGAGACACGGUCCAGCAUCCUACGGGAAGCAGCAGUGGGGAAUAUUGGACAAUGGGCGCAAGCCUGAUCCAGCCAUACCGCGUGGGUGAAGAAGGCCUUCGGGUUGUAAAGCCCUUUUGUUGGGAAAGAAAUCCAGCUGGCUAAUACCCGGUUGGGAUGACGGUACUCAAAGAAUAAGCACCGGCUAACUUCGUGCCAGCCGCCGCAGUAA
rnacentral:rRNA from 1 species